rnacentral:misc_RNA from 1 species
UACGGGGGGGGCAAGCGUUGUUCGGAAUUACUGGGCGUAAAGGGCGCGUAGGCGGUUCGUUAAGUUGGACGUGAAAACUCUGGGCUCAACCCAGAGCCUGCAUCCAAAACUGGCGGGCUAGAGUUCUGGAGGGGAUAGCGGAAUUCCUGGUGUAGCGGUGAAAUGCGUAGAUAUCAGGAGGAACACCGGUGGCGAAGGCGGCUAUCUGGACAGAAACUGACGCUGAGGCGCGAAAGCUAGGGGAGCAAACAGG